AUCCAGAUGACGAGUCCCAAAUAAGACGAGACGUGCGUUCUAGAU
rnacentral:hammerhead_ribozyme from 1 species